rnacentral:misc_RNA from 1 species
UAUGGUCAUGAUGAUAAAAGAGAUGACUGAAUUGUGAAAGUUCAAUAUGCAAAACUUGUCGAGAAAAACAGAACCCUUUUUAUUUGAUCUGAUGCGUGUAAACUGAAACAAGACCAAAGCACAAAUGUUGUGAUUAAAUUAUAAAGGAAAAGCUGGCCUGUCUUUGCACAGUCUUUGUGGUGCAGUAGUAUGGGUUCAAUGACUUUUGAGUCAAUGCAAUUUACCUACUGAAAAUUUUAUAACUUUUGACACUGGAGACAAUGUAGUCUGUUCUUGGAGUGAAAGAAAUGAGAGAUUUUCUAAGUGCCAAGUUCUUUAUUCACCCCAAGUGUAAUUAUUUGUGUAUUAUAUUAUCAAUGAUCAACUGUAAGUGUUGAGAAUGGCUGAUAAAAGGGAAGAUCAUAAUUAUUACUACAUUUCUAAAUUUUUAUUUAUAUUGCUACAGCUAUUGUUCUAAUUUAAUCCAAAAUAAGAGUAGUUUCUUUCGUGUCUUCUCUUUUACUCUGUUAUCCUGAAUAUUUCUUUCCUUCUGCAACUCACAUCUGUGUAUUUGAAGCAGGAGCAAAACGAGUCGAUGCUAAUGGAUGGAGAGUUUGGA